rnacentral:piRNA from 1 species
UAGGGGUCACUUGUACAGUAGAGCUCU